rnacentral:sRNA from 1 species
CCGGGAGCCACCCCAGCCCCGUGUGUGACUCUCAGAUCCCGAGGCUGGGCUCCUCCCCAGGGAGGCUGCAUGGCUGUGGCACAUACAGGAGGUAGGAGACAGAGGCCUCCACGGCGGAUGCUCGUGGCGUGAAGUCCACGUUGACCACGUUGUCGGUGCUGGGGGAGCGGAUGAAGGCCAGGGACCCGCGGCGCUCUCCCUGUGGUCGGGAAGCAGCCCGGAGGCCCUAAAACCCCAUUGGUCUCAUGUCCAGCACUGAAUCAGGUAGAGAACGGAGCAGAGCCCGAUGGGGCACGGAAGCCACACAGCUGAGUGCCAGAGGACGGAAGUGGGGCCGCCUAUGUGUCCUCAGACCCCACCCGCCUGAUGGCAGGGCCUGCAGAGCGUGAGGUUGUGCAGGAGCACAGGACAGAGUGGGCUUCUGGCUGGAGUCAGGGUCCCCAGGGCCGGCGGGGUACGGGUGUGGAGGGAACAUCAGCUCACUGUGCUCAGACCUCGCCAGGUGGGCACCCGCGCCGCAUUGCAGUGUGCAGGAUGCUCCCAGGAAAGCUCCCGGGGUCGGGUGGGUGCCGCUGUUCCCACUGAAGAUGCGGCCCCCAGUUCACUGCCCACUCGGUGGGGGGGCUUUGAGGGUCAUUGGUUCUGAGGGUCCUCUGCCUGCUCUUUUGCUUCUAAAUCCAGCAUCUUCUGUACGACCUUUGUCCCUCUUCUGCCACCCCGUGAAGACAGACUUGAGGGUCGGGGGAACCACGGUGCUAACCGCCACUCUGGGCAGGCACAGGCGAGGGCUGUGGAGCACCCAGGCACGUGGGGGUCUUUGGAGGGGCUGCUCCCCACACCACUUCCCCUGCCCCCGCAGAGCCCUGCUGUGGGGUGGGGGAUGCAGAGAAAACAGCUGCCCUGUGUGAGAGCCAGGAAGGACACCGGGCAGGCGGAUACCACCCCAGGUGUGGAGACCCCUGCUACUGAGUGACCGGGAGGAGCCCACAGGCUCCCCACAUGCAGCUGAGCCCAGGGUCGUGGUCAUGGGUCGUGGGUCAAGGACGGUGGCUGGUGUGGUUGAGG